GCAGUUGGAAUGCGCGGAGGGGCACGGUGGAAUGUCCUGGUCUAGAACGGGGCGACGCGAGGCAUGCUCUGUGCAAACACCACUUUGUUCCUAGUGUGGGGACUGGGAGAGAUGAAGAGAGACUGAUUGAGACAGGGAGGGAUCCGUAAAGAGGAAGACAGGGAAAAAGAAGAAAGGGAGAGUGGAAGAGAGAGGGAAAGACAGAGAGAAACAUCGAUAUGAGAGAAGAGCCCCAACCAGGCCAGGGAGGAGCCUGCAACCAAGCUCCUUAUCAGUGUAAUUGUGGGGACUGGUCACCAGCUCCUGCUUGAGCUUUUCCAGAAGGAACUUCACUACUGAAAUAUUCCAAGAGGAUUUGAUGCUGCCACAAAAAGAAGAGAGUGAAUAAAGCAAUCAGC